rnacentral:rRNA from 1 species
UACCCUUGGUCAGGUUGAAGUUCAGGUAACACUGAAUGGAGGACCGAACCGACUUACGUUGAAAAGUGAGCGGAUGAACUGAGGGUAGCGGAGAAAUUCCAAUCGAACCUGGAGAUAGCUGGUUCUCUCCGAAAUAGCUUUAGGGCUAGCCUCAAGUGAUGAUUAUUGGAGGUAGAGCACUGUUUGGACGAGGGGCCCCUCUCGGGUUACCGAAUUCAGACAAACUCCGAAUGCCAAUUAAUUUAACUUGGGAGUCAGAACAUGGGUGAUAAGGUCCGUGUUCGAAAGGGAAACAGCCCAGACCACCAGCUAAGGUCCCAAAAUAUAUGUUAAGUGGAAAAGGAUGUGGCGUUGCCCAGACAACUAGGAUGUUGGCUUAGAAGCAGCCAUCAUUUAAAGAGUGCGUAAUAGCUCACUAGUCGAGUGACACUGCGCCGAAAAUGUACCGGGGCUAAACAUAUUACCGAAGCUGUGGAUUGUCCUUUGGACAAUGGUAGGAGAGCGUUCUAAGG